CGGAUAUCAUAUAAAAUCUGCCCUUCCAGUCUUUGAAGGACUGCUGGUACAGGCCCAGAAGCACCCGUCCAGCAACCCCGUUCAGGCUGACCCAAAACCUAUCCCCUGGUUUCUUCGCCUCGAAGAAGUAGAGGAACACCUCCACCGAGGCGUUGUGCCCAAAGUAGUUGCACAGAAUCUGAAACGCCCGGAUGAAGGCCCAGGCAUUGGGGUGGAGUUGGCAGGGCGCGACGUUCAACUCCAUCAUCAGCUCUUUCUCGAAGAAGGUGAAGGGGAG
rnacentral:lncRNA from 1 species